rnacentral:lncRNA from 1 species
CCUCCUGCUGCCUCUUUCCCUGUGCCGACUGUUGCUGCACCUUCCCCGAAUCUUCACCCGAGCCAAAUCGCAGCCCUUCUGCUCCGACGACGCUGCUGCUGUCCCUAUUUUGUCUCCGCUUGCAGAUCUUUGCUGGUGCCGAGACUCGUUGAAGACCCAGAUCUGACGCCGCCCUCGCUCCGCGCAGUGACGCUCGCGCCCCGACCCGAUCCUCUCGCAGGACACCGCGCCCAACAGCUGGAUCCAGACGCUGGAGCUCCUCAUCGCAGCUACCCAAGGCCUUUUGCCGUCUCUGCAGCGCCCCGCCGGUUGAAGCCUGUAAUCCAAGCGCCCCGACACCGCCCCGCACCACACCGCCGUCGCGCCGCUCCCAGUGCCCUCGCCGGAACCCUAGCCGGCGAUCUCCCAUUGCCGGACCGGCCACUAGCUUUAUUUUUCUUUUUCUUUUUCAGAAAAAAAAAAAGAAAAGAAAAAAGAGAAAAGCAAAACAAAAUUUAGGUAUUUUAUUUAUCUUAUUUUUUUAUAUAUUAUUUUUGUUGUUUUAUUUUAUCUUUUUAGUGUAAUUAUUCCUUUAAUGUGAAAUUGAAAUUCCAUGAUAUGAAAUUGCCUUGAAAUUAGUGAUUGUUAGUCCGAUUUUCGCGCCCGAAAUCCGACUCGCAAUUACUUAAAAAACUGGCCAAUCCGAUCUCCCGCUCGAGAUCCGAUUCGUGAUUUAUGUGAAAUUGGCCAACCCGAUCUCAUGCACGAGAUAUGGUUCGUCAAUUUGGGUAUCAAUAUGGCUUGAUUUGUUGUGGUGUUACUUAAAUUAGUUUUCUUUAAAAACAAAUGUAGUUUUAGGGUUUGCAUGUUUAUAAUAGGUAUUUUAUUUCGAAUUUUCAAAAAAAUAAAUCAAAUCAAUUAAUUUAGGUUGCUAGUUUUUUUUUUAAAACUUGGAUUGCAUGUUUAAUUAUUUGGCAAUUAUUAAUUUCGAAAUUAAAAAAAAAAGGAAAAAGGAAAAACACAAAAAAAAGUCAUUAUGCAUAUGUCAUGUAGAAUUAGGGUAUCUUUUGCCCGUCAUUGCAUAUUAGGGUUAAAAUGCACUUAGUUUAAUUUUAGAUAAUAUUUUUCUUAAUUUAUUGUAAUUUUAUGCAUUUACUUAAAUAGAUUGCAUUUUAGGAUUAUUUGGGUUAAGAUAAUAUUUUAUUUUAAAUUAGGAUUUAGCUCAACCUAAUUCCUAACACAAAUUGAAUAGGAUCUUAAUCUAAUUAGAUAAUUUUCACAUUUUUCUAAUUUCAAAUUUCAUAAAAAAAAUACAAAAAAAUGUCAUAGGUCAAAUUAGUUUUAUUAUUUAGGAUAAAAUGCAUUCUUUUAGGAAAAAGAAAAAAUGUCAUAUGCACGUCAUUAGGGUUAGAUUCAUUGAGAUGCAUGUCAUUUAGUAUUUUUGCUAGGCCCAUUUAAUUAGAAAUUACAUGUCAUUAGAAUUAGGUCAUUUAGUUAAUAUUGCAUUGCAUAUUGCACGAUUGUCAUUAAUUAAGUGAAAAAAAAAAGAAAUUGCGUGUUAAUUAGAAACCAUAUCUAGGGUUGUUGAUAUAGAUUUUAAUUUAACAUUGCAGAUGCUUUCGUUGCUUUGAGGUAAGUUUUUGCAAUUUAUUUAUCGUUUAUCUGGGUGUUAAAUUGGUGGAUUGCGUAUCCGCAUGAUCACCUCACAUGUUAAGGAAUAUAUUUAAAAUCAAUUCAAGUUGCCCGCAAAAACAUUUUUGAAAAUAAAAGAAUGGUACCGAAAGGGCAUUAGAGAAAUCUAGCGUAACCAAGUCCCCGUACCCAAAUCUCUGGUUCGUAGGAGUAAAGUAAAUCUCCCAUUACUUUACUUGGGUUCCUAAUUGACCCACCAAAAAUAGAUUAGUGGCGACUCCUAAUUGAAAAUCAAUUACAUGUUAAGAACUUGAACCUAAGUCGCGAAUUGGUAUGGGCUUGGGAGAGCUCGAGUUAAGUCUAGGCUUAACAAUCCAUUAGCCAAACCCUAGGAUGAUACACACCCCGAAAAAUUGGUCGCGACAGCUUGGCGACUCCGCUGGGGACUUGAGUUGAAACUCUUAGUGGACUUAGGCCAAUUUUUCUUUUUUUUUGAAAAUGUUUUUGUUUGGCAACGAUGAUUCUAGGUACGUCCCUAACAUUUAAGGUGUUAGAUGUUUUUGCAGGAUAGGAGGUAUAAGGGGAAGUGUUUGCUAACCUUUGUUUUGCAGGGAGGUGUAUGAAUUUAUGGUUUAUUUUCAUGAAUGAAGUGUUGCUUGAUAUAAAUUGCCGUGCAUGCCUUGAAUCUAGCACUACACUAUUGCACACACAACCUGUCGCCGGACCUGGGCCGCAUAGGAUCAUUUAGGAUGGUGUUGAGAUGGAUACCACUCCGACCGCAUGCUCGCGAUACGAGUCGCCCAUCUUAAUCCCGAAGUUUCUUUCAUGGUGUCAAGAGUACCCACCUCGGUCCACAUGCCCGCGACCCGGGUCGGCUCUUUGACCAAGCCAGAGUCAUGAGGACCCGACAUAGUCCACAAGCCCGUGGCUAGUCUGAUCAUCCUUAUGGCUCCACCUUGACAAGCCUUAUAGAUUAGAAAUCGAGCCACUUACCAUGCGCAUGUCUAUGUGAUUGCCAUUGAUUCUCAUUGGUGAAGUAAGUCUUCUACCCUUAUACUAUGUAAUUUACUUACUUUGUCGUACUUUUGGUCCGUCCAUGACAAUUUAGGUUAGUCGUUCGAUCUAAUUCAUUUGUCAAUUAGAAAUGAAAUGAGGAAAUUGACAUGCAAUAAAUCAUUUUAAAAAAAACUUUGGAGAAUUCGUUUUCGAUUCAUGUUUAGGAAAUUUGAUCUUUCUAGUUAGUCAAUUUUUCGAGCCCUCUUUAGGAAAUUCCCUCCUUGUACGAACUUUUCAUAAAAAAAAAUGAAAAAUUGAUUAGGUCAUUGUCAUGGAUUGUUUCUCUAUUUACACCGUGUGCUUACAUAUUUUCAUUCAUUUUCCUUAGGUGAUAACGGAUCGUCCACGCUCUCCCAUUAUCACGCGAUUAAGAGCUAGAAUGGCCGACCAAAGCGAGAUGCGCGAUCGCAUGUCCUCCGUGGAAUAUCAACUCAAACAGUUAGUUGCUUCCAUGCAGCUUAUAACAGCUCAGCUUCAAUCCCUCCAAGUGAACCCGAGUCCUCCACCUGCUCUCCCUGAGAUUGUAGUCCCAAAGCAGAUGAACAAGACUCAAAUUGAUGAUGACGACAUGCCUGAACUGGAGGAUGACCCACUGUUUGUCACUACCGAAAAGGUUAAGCCCAACAAUGUCCCUAAGGCGGAGCAAGAUGAACGCUUCGCCAAACUUGAAGAGAAACUAAAACAAUUGCAAGAGUCGCGAAGUUCACCCCCAUUUGACUUGUCAGUUUACGAGAAAGUCAAGAUGCCGAAAAAGUUUAAGAUGCCGGAGUUCGAGAAAUACGACGGUACUUCCUGCUCAAAGGCUCAUUUGCAGAUAUACCACAUACGCAUGGCCCAGUAUGUCAAGAAUGAGCCUCUCAUGAUCCAAUCAUUUCAUGCAAGUUUGACUAGGCCCGCUCUGAAUUGGUGUGUGAUGAAGAAUGUGAACCUCCUUGACACCUGGAACAAAGUGGCUGACGCGUUCCUCAAACAGUACAAGUUCAAUAUGGACAUCGCACCUUCCCGAGAGGAUCUUGAGAGAAUGGAGAAGAAGAUGGGCGAAUCAUUCAAGGAGUAUGCCAUGAGAUGGCGAAAUAUGGCAGCUCAAAUCACUCCUGAGCCUACUGACAAGGAAUUGAUGAAGUUGUUCAUCAAGACUCUUCCAUCUUAGUUCCGUAACCGGAUGGCUAGCACAUAUGUCGAAAACUUCAACCAACUUGUUCUCGUGGGAGAACAAAUUGAGAUGGGGAUAAGAGAAGGGUGGUUUAUUGAGCCAUCUAAUAGAAGGUUUUCUACCAAGAGGGAGAAGGACCUUGAAGUUGAGAUUAAUAUGACAUAUUCUCAACCGAAUCGUGGUCUCACUCCAGUAAUUAAGAUUUCUACUGAGCAACAAGGUGAAGAACAUCAACUCCCUAAUCGACGACGUAAUGUCAGAAGACAGUUCACACCUCUUCCUGGGCCCCUAUCCAAAGUUUUGCCUAUCCUCCAAAAGAAGGGAUUACUUUCUUCGAAGACAAAGCGACCAAAUCUUGAGCAUUAUCCUUCAUAUAAUCCCUUCGAAAAGUGUGACUAUCACACGGGAGAGGUUGGUCACUCCACUGAUGAUCGCUAUGUUUUGAAGCAUAAGGUCCAAGAUCUCUUGGAUACAAAGGCAUUUUCUUUCAACAGUAAUCAAAAAAAUCCUUUGCCCAACCAUGAUGAAGGCGCAAAUGCUAUCACUGAGUGAAGAAGUUCUUCUCUUUUAGGAUUUCAAGUUUUGUUUAGGAUUCUCUACUUUUUGAAAUUUCAAUUAUCGCUUUUGCUUUUAGGGUUUGGCUUGUUUGCAUUUUCCAUUCCAAUAAUGUAAUUCAUUUGAUUCUAUUCAAUGAAAUCGAAGAUCGGAUUUUCAUCAUCAAUUGAUCAAUUUGUGGGACAUCCAUUGCUAAGACAAUCCCUUCAUGGGACAAUUCCUUGAAUGAAUGCUUGAAACCAUGUUUUGAGUACAAUAAAUUGUUUGUUUUGAAGUCACAAACGCUUUUUAUGCUUAAAGUUGCUGGACUCUUUUGAAAAGAAAAUUUUCAUAUUGAUUUAGCUCACUAAUUUCACGUGGAGAUUUGUCAAGAUAGACAAUUUAAUGGAGUGACAUCAAUGCUUAAGAAUGCUGAAUGAGAUGUGUCAGUAUGAUGAAAGGCAAGCCUUAUCUUAUACACAAUCUCCUACUUAUACACUUGUGAGAUGAGUGUAGGAAGUUCCAUAUCUACAAGGUAAAGAGUUCUCUCGCAAAAGGUACGAUGACUGAAAUAAUGAGGGGCAGUUCAUUUCUCUAUCACAAACACUACAGGUGAUACAUUGCUUAACCCUUUUUUAGCCCCAUACACUUGUGGAUAUUUUUUUUCAAAUUAUCCCUGUCAAGAACCACCCCACAUUGGGGCAAGUUGGAGGUAAGACAGCAUCAUGAGGUGAGGAAAAUGAAAAGAAAUUUCUUGUUCUCACUUACAUUAAAUCUUCAAGUCGUGCUAUUACAUUGAAUUCAUGUGGUAAUUUAAGUGCCCUAGGAUAAUGAAGAGCAUUUCUUUCUCUAUCCUAUACACUUAUAUCCUUUGUAUAGCCCACUUGAGCCUGCAAUUUCAUUUCUUUAAACCCGAUUGGUGAUCAUCCCCCACACUUAGGCAAGGCAAAAGGCAGUGAAGACUCUUGAAAAAUUCAAGUGUCAUUCAAAGUGUAAUUGCUUGACACAUGUAUUAUGCGCAAGAAUUGAAUUUAAAAUAGAACUAAGGCGCAUGAAAAAACAGUGUGCCUCAUAAAAGCAAGACCAAUGCCCAUGAAAAGAAGUGAAGAAAAAGUGAACGCAAACUAGGGGCAUGAAAAAGCGGUGUGCCUGGUAAAAGCAAUGCCAAUGCCCAUAGAUGAAAAAAGAAAGUCAAUAUAGGUGACUAUCAAUUGCAAGAAUUGAAUCCCGAUGGAGCACUACUCAAAUAAUUCAAAUGCUGAGUUUUUACAAUCAAUGAGGCACUUCAUGAAGACAAUCCCCGAUGGUAAAAGAACUGGUGGCAAUGCCAAGAUGAUCAUCAACUCUCAUCUUUUGCACACAUUUUGAGCCUAAUGAUCCUUUCAUUUCUCAACUCAUGAACCCAACUUACGUUACGUCCCUUACAAAGUCAAUUCAGAUUAGGGCAUUUGAAUUAACGUAGGAGUUCAUAUGUUUAUAAGCAUCGCUCGAAGAAGUGUGAGCAAGAUUUUUUUCUUUUUCAUUUUGCAGGGUUCUUGACUUGUAAACCCAGAGAUGAUUACAAGACUGUUCAUUCAAUAGCCUUGACUCAAAGAGUCCCUUUGUUAAGCCGUUGACUAAGCCCACACUACGGUCCCUAUCAAAGACCUCUCAGAUUGGUAAGGUUGUACUGCUUGCGAGAAUACUUGGACCUUUGUCGAUAUGAUUGUUAGGGAAAUCCCUUAUGAUGUUUUGAAGAUGACAAAAUAAAUCAAAGGCUACUAACAUGUUUAAUGGUUGAGUAAUAGACCAUGCAGAUAAUAGAACAUGUAAAGGAUAUUAUCAAAGUCUGAAGACUGUCAGACUCAAGACUCAAAGUCUGAAGACAGACUCUAUGCUGAAGCUGAACUGGGUACAGACCCAGAUUGUAAAGUCUAAAGACCCAGAUUGUAAAGUCUCAAGACUCAUAUCGUAAAGUCUCAAGACUCAGACUUUACAUCCAGAUUCAAUGAAUCGUAACUCAAGCCCAAUCAUACAACGGCUAGUGAUCUGGUUUGGAUUCCACAUCAAGAUUGAUUUGAUUAAUUCAAUCUAAUUGAUUGACAAUUGGAUGUUGAAGACAAGAACUUUCUAUACGAAGAAGCUUUACUUAUGGAAACCAAGAUUUCGUUUGUAUGGGCGAUCGGAAUCAAUUUGGGAUUCUACCUUUGUCACUCAACGGCUACCAAAUCUUCUAAGAUACAGAGCUGUCCAAUGGGUAUAUUGGAAGACGAUUCUCCGGGAUGCUGUCCAACGGUAGUUUGGAAGUGGAGGAGUAUUUAAGGAGAUCAUGGACCGAUGAGCAAGUAAGAGACGGAGCGUAGAAUUUAUAAUUCCAAAGUCUAAGCGACUUUAGAUCAUAUACUUGUCUCUUGAGAGCUUAAACGUUUGUAAUCGUGAGAGAAAUACCAAGAGAGUGACUUAGUGAGAUAGUGUGAUCUACUAAGUGUUUGCACUCGGAGUUGUAAUCUCUUGUUGAUUGCAUAGUGGAAUCCAGCCAAGAAGGCUGUUAUCGUGGGAGAGUGGACGUAGGCUUGGAUUAAGCCGAACCACUAUAAAUCUCGUGUUCUUAUUCUCUUUCCUAACUCCUUUAUUUUGUUCAUACUAGCACUCUCAAUGAUGAUAGUGAGACGGAGUGAUUCUUAUAAAAUAGCCUCUAAAUGAGAAUGAGUGAAAGUCCUUUCUAACUGAAGGUCCCUCAUUUGGUAUUCUUAAGAAAUCCGUGUCAUGAGUGAAGAUUGUUUUGAAUGAUAAUUCUCUCCAGUGGAAAUUUGGGUGAUGUAAAGGUCAUUAUGUAUGAACCCCGAUUGAGUUGAUGAAAACCUCACUAAAUUUUGAAAUGUGCAUUCUAGGGUAGCUCAACUUGUCUAUCUCUUUGAUGAAUGCAUAUCGGUUUUUGCUCUAAAUCAUGUUUGACAGGUAAUUCAAGUUCUUUUCAGAAUGUUUCAUGAUAUUAGGAGAUGAGAAACCUCCACCAUGAGGUGAAAGACCUCCACAGGAUAUCUAAAUUUCAAAAGACAUAUCCUCAAGAAUUAGAGAUAUCAUCAAGUAAGUAUAUCUCUACCAUAUUCUAAAAUACUUGUCAUUGUGCAGAUAUUCUCUCUCAAGUGCAUCAACACUUGACUUGGUCAAGCUGUCCAAUUAUAUCGACCUGGUGUGCUUUCGUAGCCCAGAGUCCUUCUCAUCGACCCGACGUGCUUCAGUAGCCUGGUGUCCUUUAUAUUGACCCGGCGUGCUUUCGUAGCCCAGUGUCCAUUUUCAUUAACUCGGCGUGCUUCCGUAGCCCGAUGUCCCUUUUAAUAGACCCAGUGUGCUUUUGUAGCCCGGAGUUCCUGACCUGGCGUGCUUUUGUAGCCCAGAGUCCCUAUUUAUUGACCCGGCGUGCUUUUCGUAGCCCGGUGUUCAUUUAUAUUGACCUGGCGUGCUUUCGUAGCCCAGGUUCCCUUUUAUCGAAGGAUUUCUUUUAUCGACCUGGCGUGCUUUCAUAGCCCAGAGUCCAUUUUAAUCGACACUCAAUUGAGCUGUCCCCUAAAGAUUUUUUCUCCAGAUUCAGUCUGAUUAAGGCGACCGAAGAACGGUUCGGGUCUUGGUAAGAUGAUCUGUGUUGCAACGCUGGGUGACCGAAGAAUGGUUCGGGUCCUAGCCAAGCAAAGUCCCCGUUUAGGCGACCGUAGAAUGGUACGGGUCAUGGAAAAAUAAUUUUCUUCGUCGAGACGACCGUAGAAUGGUACGGGUCCUGGAAAAUGAAUCCCCGUUUAGGCGACCGUAGAAUGGUACGGGUCCUAGACAAAACCUUUCUGUUGUACUAGGCGACCGUAGAAUGGUACGAGUCCUGAGAAAGCAUUUCCUUACAAAGCCUUUUUGCCAUACUGGGCGACCGUAGAAUGGUACGGAUCCUGGGAAAGCAGUUCCUUACAAAACCUUUCUGUCGUAUUGGGCGACCGUAGAAUGGUACGGGUCCUAAGAAAGCAGCUCCUUUCUGCCAUACUGGGCGACCGUAGAAUGGUACGGGUCCUGGGAAAGCAGCAUCUUCACAAAGUCAUGUUACUAUUCUAGACGACUGUAGAAUGGUACGAGUCCUGGACAAGUAACACCCACUACCUCGAAUUACUCUAUCAUCCUCGAAGGUAAGUUAUUCCAGGUAGGUUCAUCUAUCAUUUGCAUUAGUAUUUCCAUGCAUCAUAUAAAUUGCAUUAAAAAAUGGAAUUCAUUUUCCAACAAAAAAUCAUUUAUUGCAUGAGCAUAACUAAAAUUUAGGUCUCAAUUUGUCUUUGAAGGCAACAUGUUGACACCUAAAUUUUUGGGGUUAAUUUUUUGCUAAAAAAAAAAUCAUAACCACAUGGCAUAUAGUUUAGGCAAAUUUUAUAUUUGGUUAAGAUUUUUUUAUAGAUUUAGAAAUGCAUUUUUUGCGCAAAGGGGGAAUUUUUUUGAUCGAAUAUGCAAAAAAUAUUGCGCAGGGUGAAAUGAUAUAUUCAAUGGAAUUUUACACGAGCAAAAUUGGCAUUGAAAUAUACCACGAAGAUACAUUUUUUUGGUGUAUAAAAGAGUUGCGUACGGUGGGGAAAAUGGGGGCCAUUCCGUUGGUGAAAAAAAAAAGGUGAAAAAGUGAGUGGAGAGAGAGAAAAUGUUUCAAGGCCGCGUUAUUAAAUCACCCGAUGGUGNNNNNNNNNNNNNNNNNNNNNNNNNNNNNNNNNNNNNNNNNNNNNNNNNNNNNNNNNNNNNNNNNNNNNNNNNNNNNNNNNNNNNNNNNNNNNNNNNNNNGCCGUCGCAGCCAACCAGUCUUCGCCCGCGAGCCCCCGACGACCCGCGUCGCCCCGACACGGAGCAACGCUGUGUGUCACCCAUUCCCGAUCCGUUCGUGGAGCCACCGCCACGACAGAUCCGUGGUCCAGACAUCGGGAUCUCUCCGCCUGCAGGUCUGAAGCUCCGGUGUUCCUGUCCCGACACUGCCGUGCCACCCCGAUCGUCGUUCAACGAAACCCGUCCCACCGGCCCACAAGCCUCCUGCUGCCUCUUUCCUUGUGCCGACUGUUGCUGCACCUUCCCCGAAUCUUGACCCGAGCCAGAUCGCGGCCCUUCUGCUCCGACGACGCUGCUGUUGUCCCUGUUUUGUCUCCACUUGCAGAUCUUCGCCAGUGCCGAGCCUCGUUGAAGACCUAGAUCUGACGCCGCCCUCGCUCCGCGCCGCGAUGCUCGCGCCCUGACCCGAUCCUCUCGCCGGACACCGCGCCCAACAGCCCGAUCUAGACGCC